GAUGAACGCUGGCGGCGUGCCUAAUACAUGCAAGUCGAGCGAAUAGACGAGGAGCUUGCUCCUCUUACGUUAGCGGCGGACGGGUGAGUAACACGUGUCUAACCUACCUAUAAGACUGGGAUAACUUCGGGAACCCGGAUCUAAUACCCGUUAAUAUAUUGAACCUCAUGGUUCAAUAGUGAUAGACGUUUUUGCUGUCACUUAUAGAUGGAUCCUCGCCGCAUUAGCUAGUUGGUAAGGUAACGGCUUACCAAGGCAACGAUGCGUAGCCGACCUGAGAGGAUGAUCGGCCACACUGGAACUGAGACACGGUCCAGACUCCUACGGGAGGCAGCAGUAGGGAAUAUUCCGCAAUGGGCGAAAGCCUGACGGAGCAACGCCGCGUGAGUGAUGAAGGUCUUCGGAUCGUAAAGCUCUGUUAGUAGGGAAGAACAAAUGUGUAAGUAAAUAUGCCCGUCUUGACGGUACCUAAACAGAAAGCAACGGCUAACUACGUG
rnacentral:rRNA from 1 species